UUUAAUGGAAAUUAUUAUUUUAUACAGCAUUUAGAUGUAGCGGAUCUACUACGUGAUACGACAGUGGUUUUAGAUGCAGUGAAGAAGAGCAACCUGGCUCGUGUUCAACUGUCGGGAUGCGUAAGGCAGAAAUUCGACUCCACUCCAUUUAGCUGCUGGUUACAAUAAUCUAAAAGUGGUCGAGUAUCUCCUACAACAUUGCGCUGAUGUAAACGCACGACAAGGGAGGUUUGAUUCUUCAUAUGGAUAUUUGGAUAUAGCUACUUUGCUUAUCAAACACUGCGGUUAAUGCUAUGGACAAAUGGGGCUAGAGCCCAUUGCACGAAGCGGCCCACAAAGGUCGAAUUCAGCUGUACAUUACUCGUAAGAAUACCAUUGCUCACCAAUUCAUCAAAAACAUUCUAAACGUUUGAUACUGUUCGCUUACGGUGCCGAUCUGUUCAUGAAAAACCAGGAAGGCAAAACUAGUUUGGAUUUGGCAACUGCGGAAAGCGUCAAGUAUCUAUCGUCUAAAAUGUGGUAUCAAUCGAAUCAUCCGAGUCCGCUUGCCUUAUUAGACUACAGCUGAAACAUUUAAUUGCACUGGUCGAGCGAGAACAGAUUAAAAUUUGCCACGAAGAUCUGAAACAGGUUGGUGUCUCGGCGUACGGUUUUUGUCAUAUGAUACUGAAAGGGAUUGCUACUUUGCGUACGACAUAACAUGAAUCAUCAAACAAAUAAUUGUCUGGGAUUAACUCCAAAUCCGAGUACUGUUCUGGUUGAUCUUCUUACCGAUGAGUAAGAGUUUUUUGCCGCCAAAAAAGAAAUGCAAGCCACUAUAAGAGCACCAAGAUAACGGUCACGCUAGCGCUAUUUUCACCCGAUACUACAUUGUCAGAGUAGGUGAAGAAAUUAAGUACUGGUCUACAGUACAUAAUGCAUAUGAUUGUAGGUGCAAAAAGUAUAGAAUCUAAAACUAUGAGAGCGAUACGUCCACCCUCGCAAGGAAAUCUUGAAAGAAAACGGUCGCCAAGCACGCGAAUGAAUUCUGUUUCAUGGGUCAUCCUUUAUCAAUGCCAUCGUGCAGAAAGUGCAGAACCAGUAUGUUUUCGGAAUCAGUGGCGCAUAAGGAUAAUCAUGCUAUCAGUGUCAUAGAAAAUUGCUGCUCUGCCGAGUGGCACUAGGCAAAUCGUUCCUGCAGUUCAGUGUAAUGAAGAUGGCGCGUGCGCUACCUGGGGACAACUCCGUCAUCGGACGACCCUCGGCUGGUGAGUCGCACUUUCCUGAAUACGUUGUAUACCGUGGUGAACAGAUCAUAAUAUUUCGAUAUGUGCUGGCAAAAUUGUAUGAUGGAACUGCAAUAAGCGAAAUCUAAGAUAUCCCAGGCAUCAACUAAGAAUAGAGAGCUUUUUGAUAUACAUCAUUCAUCUACUGAAACGGGAUACCGGGCGCAGUUUGAAUCAGCUGUUGUUGUCAACCGACGCAUUCUCAGCAAUUAAUCAGGAAAUAAUUAUAAUCCCAUAUACUGCCGCUAGAAGCAUAAUUGUCCCAUGUGUAUAGGGAUUCCCAUAGCACAUGGGACAGUUAUGCUUCUAGCAGCAGUAUACUACCUUGGAAAACUCCAGAUUGUCACUGAUAUCGGAGUUACUGUAUUAAGAUCCAAUUGAUAUGUAGAGGAUCGGGGACAGUAGUUAGAAGACGAGCGCGGUAUUGGUAAUGUACCGGGUUACGAAUACGCCGGAAUUACAAUGGUGGGUUUAUCAUUGCAAGAGAAAAUUUAGAGAACCGCGCCAGUGACGGUGAGUUGUGUUUUAGGCAACAUGCUAGCGUACAAUUUAUAGGGCGAAAAAAAGAUCAAUGGAAACCAAUUAUUAACAAUAACGAUGUACGAAAGAUUCAAAAUACUCGUUUUGCGAAGAGUCUGAAACAGCAAAAAGAGUAUAGGAAUAAUUUUGAAAAACAGAGAUAAACUAUCAUACAUUAACAUUUCGAAACAAACAUGUUUUAUCGUUAUAUUGACAUUUUUGUUGGCAAUAAAUUACUAAAACGUUUUUACCUCUGUAUACUAUUAAUCUAAAUUAUGUCAGAAAGGGUCGUAACAGUGAACCUAUUC